rnacentral:rRNA from 1 species
AAUGAACGCUGGCGGCGUGGAUUAGGCAUGCAAGUCGAACGCGUGUAGCAAUACAUGAGUGGCGACCUGGUUAGUACAAGUUGGGUAACCUGCCCGAAAGUGGGGAACAACCUCUCGAAAGAGGGGCUAAUACCGCAUGUGGUCCGGGGGACUUCGGUUCCUUUGACUAAAGCAGCAAUGCGCUUUCGGAUGGGCCCGACUCCCAUUAGUUAGUUGGUGAGGUAACGGCUCACCAAGACGGCGAUGGGUAGCUGGUCUGAGAGGAUGGCCAG